rnacentral:rRNA from 1 species
AUUGAACGCUGGCGGCGUGCUUAACACAUGCAAGUCGAUCGGUAACGCGGGGGCAACCCUGGCGACGAGAGGCGGACGGGUGAGGAACGCUUGGGAAUCUGCCCUUCAGCGGGGGACAACACGGGGAAACUCGUGCUAAUACCGCAUACGCUCCACGGAGGAAAGCCGGGGACCGCAAGGCCUGGCACUGAAGGAUGAGCCCAAGUCGGAUUAGCUAGUUGGCGGGGUAACGGCCCACCAAGGCGACGAUCCGUAGCUGGUCUGAGAGGACGAUCAGCCACACUGGGACUGAAACACGGGCCAGAAUGCUGAGGGAGGCAGCAGUGGGGAAUAUUGGACAAUGGGGGAAACCCUGAUCCAGCGACGCCGCGUGGGUGAAGAAGGCCUGCGGGUUGUAAAGCCCUUUCGGUAGGGACGAAAGCCCUCGACCUAACACGUCGGGAGGUUGACUUAACCUACAAAAGAAGCACCGGCUAACUCUGUGCCAGCCGCCGCCGUAAAAC